GGUACCUAGGUUGAUAAGCUCAAUCUCUUCAUGGUAUUUUCUUAUUAAUUUCAAAAAAUCUGCAUAAAAACCUCUUUCUAAAAUCAUCCAACCAUUUUACGCAGAUUGAGCCAUAGUAAACCCGUUGGGUACAGUAACCCUACGUUUCCUCCGAAUUUUGAAUUCCCGGUGUAUGAAGCCGACGAUGAGGAAGGUGAUGAUAUACCAUAUGAGAUCACUCGACUGCUCGAGCAAGAAAGGAAAACCAUUCAACCUCACCAUGAAGAGAUUGAGCUUAUCAACCUAG
rnacentral:lncRNA from 1 species